rnacentral:rRNA from 1 species
GGCAGCAGCCGCGGUAACACCGGCGGCCCGAGUGGUGAUCGUGAUUAUUGGGUCUAAAGGGUCCGUAGCCGGUUUGGUCAGUCCUCCGGGAAAUCUGAUAGCUCAACUAUUAGGCUUUCGGGGGAUACUGCCAGACUUGGAACCGGGAGAGGUAAGAGGUACUACAGGGGUAGGAGUGAAAUCUUGUAAUCCCUGUGGGACCACCUGUGGCGAAGGCGUCUUACCAGAACGGGUUCGACGGUGAGGGACGGAAGCUGGGGGGCACGAACCGGAUUAGAUACCCGGGUAGUCCCAGCCGUAAACGAUGCUCGCUAGGUGUCAGGCAUGGCGCGACCGUGUCUGGUGCCGCAGGGAAGCCGUGAAGCGAGCCACCUGGGAAGUACGGCCGCAAGGCUGAAACUUAAAGGAAUUGGCGGGGGAGCACAACAACGGGUGGAGCCCUGCGGUUUAAUUGGACUCAACGCCGGACAACUCACCGGGGGCGACAGCAAUAUGUAGGCCAAGCUGAAGACUUUGCCUGAAUCGCUGAGGAGUGGUGCAUGG